rnacentral:rRNA from 1 species
AUUGAACGCUGGCGGCAGGCCUAACACAUGCAAGUCGAACGGUAACAGGAAGAAGCUUGCUUCUUUGCGGACGAGAGGCGGGCGGGUGAGCAAUGUCUGGGCAACUGCCUGAUGGAGGGGGAUAACUACUGGAAACGGAAGCUAAUACCGCAUAACGUCGCAAGACCAAAGAGGGGGACCUUCGGGCCUCUUGCCAGCGGCUGGGCCCAGAUGGGAUUAGCUAGUGGGUGGGGUAACGGCUCACCGAGGCGACGAUCCCUAGCUGGUCUGAGAGGAUGACCAGCCACACUGGAACUGAGACACGGUCCAGACUCCUACGGGAGGCAGCAGUGGGGAAUAUUGCACAAUGGGCGCAAGCCUGAUGCAGCCAUGCCGCGUGUAUGAAGAAGGCCUUCGGGUUGUAAAGUACUUUCAGCUGGGAGGAAGGGAAUAAAGUUAAUACCUUUGCUCAUUGACGUUACCCGCAGAAGAAGCACCGGCUAACUCCGUG